AUGAAGAAUCGGAAAACCACAGAUUUUAUCAGUGGCGUGACAGAGUUCAUUAAUUUGGCUGAAAGUACAAAGAGGAGAAUUGGUGAUGCGGAUUACAUCCUGUGUCCAUGUAUUGAUUGUGCCAAUACAGAGUCACAUGAAGUUGCAGAUGUCCAGAUGCACUUAGUCUCUAUGGGAUUCAUGGAUGGAUAUACACGUUGGACUAGACACGGUGAAGAGGAGGCCAUGGAUGAAGAUACCCAAGGCAGCGAGAUGCCAAACCCCGAUCAGUGUCACAUGGAUGUUGAAUCUAACAUCGGGGCAAAGGCAUCAAGCUACCAAUGGAAUACCGGAAAGCCGGAACGCCCACUGGAAAACCAAGACGUCCACGCAGAUGAUGACGAUCUUGAUAUGCCAGAUUUUGCUGCUAUGAUUGCAGAUUUCGAGGGCCCAGAAAAGGAUAUGAUUGGGUACAAGGAUCUGCCAAUCAUUGAUGCGGACUCCAAGAAAGAAUUGUAUCCAGGUUGCAAAAAGAAAUAUUCCAGGUUGAGUGCCACCCUGGCGCUUCUCAGAUUUAAAGCAGCAAACAGUCUAUCAAACAAGGGUUACACAGAGAUGUUAGGUCUUUUGAAAGAAAUUCUUCCGGAAGAUAAUGUGCUCCCUAGAAGCAUGAAUGAAGUGAAGAAAAUUGUUUGCCCAUUGGAACUUGAAGUACAGAAGAUACACGCUUGUGUGAAUGAUUGUAUAUUGUACCGUGGUGAGUACAAAGAUUUUCGUGCAUGUCCCACAUGCAAGCAUGCACGAUACAAGCGCAGGAGAGCAAAGGAAAAGUACAAAUUGGACGAUGAGAUCAAGACAGGAAUCCCGUUCAAGUGCAAGAGUGAAGUAGAAGAUGAUGACAAAUUCAUCAAAGCUCGCCAGAGUUACAAUGUCAGUACAAAAGAAGCAACACCGUUCUUCACCUAUUUGUUGUCAGUUAAGACACCCUCUUCCUACUGCGCAAACAUCAGAAGUCUCGUGGAUAGAAGGGUACUGGGUGUCGACGAUGUUGCUGAUGAGGGCAAGUACGAUGAAUUUGAUGAGUUGCCAACCAAGGAAUCACACACCCGUGCAACAGAGCAGCGUAAAAUCAUCAAAAACCCCAAGUUCAUUCGGGGUCAACUUAAUGAUCCCAGUUCCCCCAUGUACAUGGGAAUUAAGUCGUAA
rnacentral:rRNA from 1 species